GGUAGGCGUGGUGAGGCUUCAUUCAACCUCUGAAAGGGGCCUCGGUCACCCCGGCGAAUAUCCCAGAACUUGCCUGCCAUGACUUUGAAUGUACCUUCAGUGUUGGGGUUCCCUGUUGGAGGUCCCUCGGGAUCAAACGCUCCUCCUGAUAGAUUUUUUGGGGGCUCCACCUCCCCUACACCUCUUCCAUGCACUAACCUCUGACGGGCCACCUGAUUUCAAUAUGGUUGGCCCUCCGGUCCUGAUGAUCUUUACUUCUCAUGCCCCUUUGGUAUCAGAUCCUAGUCUUUUCUUCUUUCCUGCGGGUCACAGGUCUGCUGUGGGUUCACCCCUUUGAGGGUGCCUCUCCUGCUGUGUGUCAGCUGCUUGUUGAUUCUCAUGGGCAGCCCAUGUAUCAGGGCGGCACCCUGAUCCCCUCACUAUAGGCAUACCAAUAAAAGAGAAAAUAAGGACAAAAUAGGAAAACCACAAAGGAAUACGCACAGGCAAGAAAGAUAUGAAACAGGAAUACACAAAGAAAAUAAGGCAGCUAAAGAAAAAGGGGAGAUCAAGCUAAACUGCCUUUGCUUCCAUCCUGCCUUAGAGCCUGUGUCUGCCUGUGUCUCCUGAUGCUGCUCCACUCUCAGCUUUCCCUGAGGGCUUCCUCUAUCCCUUCCCUGAUCAGCUCCUCUCCGGUGCUCUGGGGCUGUGGGUGUCUGGUGGGGAGAGCCUCUGUCAUCCCCUGUACUUCUGCCACUCUUCCUGGAGUGGAAUCUUCUCCUGCACGUUAGUGCUGCCCAUGACCGGCGUGGAGGAGUGUUAUAAUUGCUGCUGCCUGAGAUGCUUUUCCCUAGGCGGGGUCUUCCUUUGCACACUGGCGCUGCCUGCCGCCAGUGUGGAGAGCCUCUGCAGCCUCCACUGCUUCUCUCGCUCUCUGCUCCUGCUGGCUUGUGUCUACUUUUAUUCCAGCCAGCCAGCAAUCACUCAUGAUGUCACCUGCCAAUCCCAGCUGUAGAUAAGUGCGGCUGAUGAACCGCACAGGCUUCUCUCUUUGGCAUUGUUCGUCCUGUGUCUGGAUUCCUAAAGUGGUGAUUUUUUCCCUAUCUUCCAUCUGCUAAAAGGCAGAUGUGGGAUUUUAUCAGCACCUUAAUCAAGAAUACUUCACUGAAUGGGAUGCUUUAAAGCAAGGCUACUACUUGGUUUUUGUUUAGCAGCUUCAUGGAUAUGGGCAACAAUACUAUAACCCUGCCACCGAUUCCCUUCAGGGCUUGUUCCUCCAUUCAGCAUAAUUCAGUCAUGAUAGUAUCCAGCCAUCCAGUCAAUGGUCCUACAGCCAGUGCACAUCUCCAUUUUAACUUGUUUUUGAUGGAACUGUUGACACUGAUUGGUCUGCCAAGGUACACAAAAAUCUAUUUGUUCUAUGGCUUCAAAGAUGCUGCAUGUGAACACUUUGUCUGCUGCCCCUUUUCCAGCUAUAACUGCUUUGUUUCUUGACAUUUCAUGUCAGGCCACAUCAAGCACACUGAUAUUACAAGGUAGUAAAGGGUAUCAGAAUUAAUUCAAACAUGCUGGCCAGUGCUGAAAUAUACAUAUAACCAUAAAUUUCGAUGAUACAAUGUCAUGUUCUCCAACUUACUUGUAAUGUCCCAUUUAACCACAGGAUGACAAACUAUGAUACUCCAUGUCUCUUUCUCCUCCAUCAAACUUUAACUUGAAGCACUUGCUUAAUUUUCUAUUUAUUCUUGCAAAACCACAGAUAUUUGUAUACAUAGCUUUUAUUGUCACAGUAAUCUUAUUUGGAAUUGUCAUAUCACUUUGUUUCACUCCAGACUGAAUUAUAUGACCUUAUGCCGUAAAUUGCUUUUUUCACUUUUUCACAUUUACUUACAGCAUGAUUGUUUUUGGCAUGACAAACUUAUGCAUAGUUGGAUUAGCAGGAUCUCCUUUCUUCAAGAUGCCUGCGACUCUUGCCUUUAAUUUGUUAGCUGAUAUUUAUUCCCACAUCUUCUUGUAUAGUUUUUUCUGAUGCUUUGAUGACACUUGUCCUGCCAGUUUUUAAUAGCUAAAGCCUGGACACAUGACACUUGCUCUGAUGUAAAUUACACCAGGACCUGGAGUGGACAGACAGAAAGAUGUCCAGGAGUAGUUGCUCACAGUGGGUAGUAUUACAGUGCCUUGACACAGCCAAUACGGCUACAACCUGGAUAACUAACACAUGGAAGAUACUGAAUUUUAGCUGAUUUUUAAAAAAUGAAAUCUUCAUAAUUUCCCAAGCAGAAAACAUCUUUCACCAUCUGAGACCUGAGAUUCUGCUUCUGCCUUUGUCAAAGGUAAUUUGCAUCAUCACAGCCUCACAGGAGCGCUGAGAGACUCUUUACCAGCUAAGAACUGCCUGCCCAGAGGAGUUUUCCAUCUUUUGACUCCUCUGUGAAAUCCUAUGAAAUAUGAAC